AACUUAUCAACCGUGACUUGGGUUUAGGCCCCUGGCUCGGCUUGGAUUUGGGUGCUUGCGGCCUUGCGCUGCUCACCUUAAAAGGAUUAGCUGGACAUGUCGUGAGACUUGGUUCUACUUGGCGUAAUAAGUAUUUCGCUGAGGACAUCCCCUCGUGGGGUGGCCAAGACUCUGGUGCAAAGGUCUGCUUUCUAACCUGAUCGUCCUCGGACAUCACUUUUUAUG
rnacentral:misc_RNA from 1 species